GCCUGGGUGGCUCAGUCGGUUGAGCGUCUGACUUCAGCUCAGGUCACGAUCUCGCAGUCCGCGAGUUUGAGCCCCGCGUCGGGCU
rnacentral:tRNA from 1 species